CCCCAGGAGCAGAUCUGAACGCUCAGAAAGCCACACGUAGUUGCGGGUACGAACAUUUCCCUUAAUGAUCGUCCCAGCCUCUGCUGCACCUCAGUCAUUCUGUGAGGUGAGGAGCUUUUACACAAAGUAUUCCUGGGGUUGGGGGGGGGAAGGGUACUUUCUACCUCUUUCCUGAAAAACACAACCUUGCUUUCUUUGCAUUACUGAUCAAAGCCCACUUCCACAAAGAUGCCUGAGAUGAAUCCCAGUGGGUCCUCAUUAAAGGGCUCCCUCCAGCCUUCAGGACGCUCCACCCUCUUACCGUGUCUUCCCCAGACUCGGCCCCGGGGGCUGUAAACCCGGUUUCCAGCUCCCAGGUGACAUCAUCAAUGCCGCUUCUCAAGGAACACGGUUUCCCAGGCCUCCGUCACUGUUUCCAUCCCCGUGGAAAGUAAAAAGGAAGGCGUUUUGAGAAUCCACCUCUCAGCACAAACCCUCAAUUACAUCCUUCCUCAGCAGGAAUCGGGUGAGGCUGGGAGCCCGCUGGGAGCUGCAGCGUGUACCUGUGUUUGGGCAGGUUUCUCUCAUUAGUGGGGGGACGCUGUCAUUGCUCACUAGCUAAACAGAGCCAGAGAAACUGGAGAGCUCCAGGACCAAAAGCUUGUGCGCAUUUCUAUAAACCCUCCACUGCGCCGUCGGAAAUACAGCUUAACUCAGCGACAGGGACAGAAAGGCUAACUGUGGCCUCAGCCCCCGCCUCCACAACCAGUCUUUCCAAGGAACCCCCCGUUCCUCUGUCACCCACCAGGUCUUGUUUUCCCUGGACAGGGUUUGAUGUGCAGAUUCCACGUCUGGAGAAAAGGAGAAAAGAGACACGGCCUGUUGGAGAAAGGCCAUCAAGACAGGAGCUUACGAGAGAUCAGACUUCAGGCAGGACGUGAUUGUUGGCCUGGAGACGCCGGGAGAGAGGUUUAUUUUUCCAACCAUUACCCAUAAUUAAUCAGCACUUCCAUAGAUUAAAACACUCUUCUGAUACCAGAUAUGCUGUACAAGGUUUUUUCCUUUAAU
rnacentral:lncRNA from 1 species